GCGGGCCGCACCUACACUCUUAACAGAAAAAGAGGAUAUUUGCCAUUUCCACCCCCUCCAUUUGGGUGUGGUGAUGAAUUUUCCGUCUUAUUUCGUUGCAUAAUUUUAUAUACACCGUGCUAAUGCAUUCACAGGGUGUGUUACCAAACAUUUUCUCCACUAAACUUGGUGGAAAUGCAUGAACGCGUCAUGUCACGUGAUAUCGAGGUGACUGUGACGAUGUGAGAAGGCUGAACGCUAUUGGCUGAAAUCGUUUCGAAUAUUUUUAUGCGCGGUGACUUGACUUAUCACUCUGCCGAGGCUUCGAUGAAACUCUGUGCAUAACAGACUGUCUGCGGUAAACAACUCCAAUUUUCAAUAGAUAGAAUAAGUGGGUGGGCACAGUUUGUGUUGAACUUGUCUCAAGCUACAAUAUGUGGAAAACUUACAUCGUGUGGAGAGGUCUGGAGGUUUAAGCUUGCUGGUACAGGAUGUUGAUUUUCUUGAAAAUGAAGAUGAUCACUGUAUUGGGACUUACAAGUAGAUAAUAGCAGAGGAACUAAAUGAGAGAAAUAUAGCAGAUGAGCAGUGCUGCAGUGAACAACUCAUAGGAUGUUGAUUUUCUUGAAAAUGAAGAUGAUCACAGUAUUGGAACUCACAAGUAGCUAAUAGCAGAGAAACCAAAUGGGAGAAAUAUAGCAGAUGAGCAGUGAACAACUGAUAGAUUGUAAGUCCAAUCCAAUGAUGAACUCUGGAUCAUCACUAGAUCACAGUUCGAAUGGAAGCUUUAAUUACACAAAAGCAAUGGCAGUGGCCAGUGAUGGACUCUUUGUUACAGGAUUUUCAAUCUACAAAUACCAUUAGGUAGCAGAAAAGCUUGACAUUCAUCACAACAUGCCUACUGCUCCUGCCAAAUGAAGAAUUCCCAUUCAAAAAACAAAAAAGGCGUAACUUGACUUUCUCAUUACGACUGUAUUUAUUUGCGACCUUUAGUAGUCAAUUUCGCCGAAUAUUUACUGUUUUAAUAAAUUGUUUAAAUCUUGAAAA